GUAGCUAGCUAUAACACCCUGAAUGCAUCCAAUCUCAUCUGUUCUGGGAAGCUAAGCAAUGCCAGGCCUGAUUAGUACUUGGAUAGGAGAAAUCAUCUUUCUGAUGAAAAAGUUCCAACUGCG
rnacentral:rRNA from 1 species